UACGUAGGGUGCAAGCGUUGUCCGGAAUUAUUGGGCGUAAAGAGCUCGUAGGCGGUUUGUCGCGUCUGCUGUGAAAACCCGAGGCUCAACCUCGGGCCUGCAGUGGGUACGGGCAGACUAGAGUGCGGUAGGGGAGAUUGGAAUUCCUGGUGUAGCGGUGGAAUGCGCAGAUAUCAGGGGGAACACCGAUGGCGAAGGCAGAUCUCUGGGCCGUAACUGACGCUGAGGAGCGAAAGCGUGGGGAGCGAACAGG
rnacentral:rRNA from 1 species